UACAAUCUCAGGACAUAGCCUGCUAGUCAACUCCUUCUUGGAUCAAGUCACUCAGCAGUAACUAAAACAAAGAACUGUGGAAUGGGACCAAGCACUGGACCGGUCAGAUGGGACGCUCACAAUAUACUCAUUGUUCAUCUGGAAACCCCAUGAAGUUGUAACCCGAACCCCUUGUCCUGAGGCCAUUCGAUGGCCCUCAUCCAAUGGUAUCUGUGGACCCCAGUGGAGAGCCCAAUGGCAACAAAAACCAAAGAGGCAGACAAAAGUCAGCGGUGUUGUCACAUGAGUGGUAGCUCAAGCCACAGUGUGUCUUCUGGGAACUCACCUGCCUGAUGCGUAGAGGCAGGGGACAAAUCUCUGAACAUGCUUCAGGACUGUAUGCACCAAGCAGCUCAGAGAGAGGUGGUGGCAGGUUGCUGACCCCAGGUGGGUCAAAUUAACCACUGAAGAAACUAGAUGUGCUUCGCUCAAACACGGCUCGUCUGCUCCUUUUCUCUGGCUCCGUGAGAGACAAGGUUAUCAAGACUUCCUGCCAUGCCAUGAAGAUCUGGAAAGGAAGGUGCCAGAAACUCUGCCCAUGGAUAGUAAAAAAUAAGCAAAAACAAAAAUAAAACUAACCAAACAAACAAAAACAGCAUGGAAAAUGAAGGCCUUGGGAGAUCACUGGCAUUCUAAAUGGUGAGAGACCUGAGACACCUCUUGUCCAUCUCCUAGAGUAUACAGAUCCGGGGCUGUUAGAGAAAUAUCCCAGUUGGCAGGACACAGGAGAAUCAGAUUUACUUUUCUAGAGUAGCAUUUGAAGUCAAUACUUUCCUCUUAGUUAACCACUUACCUGCCAGACUUCCAAUAUGAAGUAGAGUAAUAACCAGCUAUUUGAGAAAAACUAUCAUGUAUGGAAUUCAGUGCACGGAGCAAAGGACUUAAAACAAGAUAAAAAGGAGAAAUAAUUUAAAUUUCACUAUUAAUAUUUUUCUACUUAAUAUGAGCCAAGCAGAGAAAAAAUAUUAUGUUUUUAUAAAAUCAGACUUGAGGAUGAUUUAGGACAAUUCUUGCACAAGAACGCAUGGAAAAGGGAUGAGUCAUUGUAAGUCAUUUUUCUUCAGCUGAGCAAAUGGAGAGAGAAGGAUAAAAAAUAAUAGGAAAAGUGAGAAAUAUUAGGAAGUAAUAAGGAAAAUUUCAUAGAAUUUUAGGUAUAAGUUCUAAGACAGUUCCUGCACUGUGGGAGGAUUUAGUAAAUAUUUGGAACACAAAUUCUAAAUAAUUCAUUUGUGGGCAUUACAGUCAAUGAAAGAAACCCUCAUCAGUAGACACUGAGACAAACAGGACCAUGAAAGUUCACCAAGAAGAAGGAUCUGCAUGGACCAUAAUUUCAGACUUCCCACCAGCCUCUAGGAGUUGUAAUUAAUAGAUAAAGCCUUUAAAUUUCUUCAGGGGAAGAACUAGCAACAUAGAUUCUAUACCUAACCAAAUCAGCAAUCAGCUAUGAGAGCAAAAUAAAGA